rnacentral:lncRNA from 1 species
CUAGUACUACCUCCAUGAUCCCACACUCCUAAUCAUAUGAGCUAAAAUGUUACACAUUCAAUCUUUGAGAAGAUAUAAAGAAAAAGACAUAUACAUAGAUUAUCUUUCCAUAAGGUUGAGCGAUCUGAUCAGACAAAUUUUUUAAAUGCUACACUCAUGAUCUUAUUAUCCAUCAAAUUUGUCUUGCUCACUAUGAUUAAGGUUAGAGAAGAACAAAUACACUUUUGGUUCUGUUGGUGUUUUCCACCAAUAGGACCCAUGCACUGGAUCUCUGCCUUGUCUCUAUGAGCCGGUACACUCCAAAACAUGGAGGAGUUUUAUAACUCUCAGACUCUACCAAGUAAAGGACCUGGAUCUACGAGCACAAACACACGGAUCAAGAUGCAGCCAACGCCGCACUUCGAACUGCUGGGCAAACGAAGAACAUGAGUGACACCGUAUCAAGAGGUGCAGACGUCAAGGUCCACACCUAAAUCAAAUGACGCACCUAAAGAAUGAACACGGUGAGAAGUCUUGUUCAGAAGACUUAAAACAUUGAACCCUCGCCGAAAGGUAAAAUCGGUAGUUAUCCAUAUUUAUCCUUUCUGCAUUCCCUUUUCCCUUUAAUUAUUUACUUUCCUUAAAUGGCUUGUUAGUUAAUCAUGCUAUCUUGAAAAGAAAACAAAAAUAAUACUAAGCCCCAUGUGAGUAUGCUCGUGGCAUAAAACCCAUAAGUACAUUCACUGUGGUGGCGUAAAAAUAAAAUAAAUAUAUUCCUGUCUUAUAGAAAUGAAAAUAUAAAAAUCAACUUAUGAUCCUACCAAAGAGAGUAAUAUUUAUUAGAGGAGGCUCAACAUGAUAAAGGCAAAGAGAUUUUAUGCUAACACUUAACCAGUUCCACAAAGCUUUGUUGUCUAUUUGAGCUCCAUAGAAUUCAAGGAUCAAAGAAGACUAGCAGACGGAGGACAUCCUAAUCACUGUCAGGGUGCUGCCGACAUUCAACUACACCUCCGCCACCAGCUACAUCAGAAGCAAUUACGUCAAAAUCCAACUUGGGGGAGAGAAACCCCAUUUAUCCAGCUAAGUUUUUCUACUCGCAUUUAUACUUUACUCAAAUAAUAAAAAGAUGCAUAAUCAUAAAAACCCAAAUAAAGAUUUUAUGCUUAUAUAUACAUAUAUGCUUAGUUUGCUAAAUAAGUAAAUAAAUAAAUAAAGUUUGCUAUGAACCCUCAUGAUAAGCUCGCAUAUGAAAAUGAUGAAUAGUUGCUCUGCCUAGUUCUCAAAAUUGAAAUCUCUCUCAAGUUUAGGCAUGACUGUUAUGAAUUAAGAUUUGCUCUAAACCUGAACUUGUGGGAAGAGUACUUGAUCUAAAGUCUAAGUCGUUAACGGAUAUGAUAUGGGAAGGUUGAGCUACUGUUUAUCUGUUCCUUUAGAUGCUAGAAUUCUGAGAAUUUUAUCUUUGAAAAUCUUUAAAAUGUUGCAUUCCUUUAUGAUGAUAGUUUAAAAUCCUACCACAGCCACAUAUACAUGCUUAUUAGACUAUGAACCGUACAUUUACUUUUUACUACAUAUGAGCAUUGAGUGUGGUCAAGUUAUGUAGACCCUUAGGAACUUGUCAUGUGGUUAAAAUCAAGAUCCACUUGCACGUUCACUCAUACAUGCUGCUUCUACUCCGGAAGUACGCAUCCACAUACAUCCAUUCAUUUCCAUCUCCAGAUUCACCCAAAAUUAUUCUACUCCUAUCUGGGAGAGAAUAGACAAAAACAUUAUGCCAUUCCUGUUUUUCCCUGUGAAAUAAAUGCUUGAGCUAUUUUGGUUACUACCACUUGCUACAUUAUUCCAGAAGGGUGAGCGCUCUGAAAAAAGAAGAAGAAAAAUAUGAGGAAAUAAAAAGGGGCAAGUGCCCGGAACCUCGAAAGAAAAAAGAAAAAGUGAGACGAGAGGUAAAAAUGCACAAGUGUCCGACAGUAGAAUUAGGGGUACAAGAUACCCACCUGAGAGAAAAGAAAAAGAAAAUAUAGAGCAUCUCAUUCCUCUCAAAAACCUUCAAAGUGCAAGAAAGGUAUGCAUCCCCUCAAAAGAGCAAAAGUAGAAUUAGACUUUCACCAUUAUUUUCACCAUUAUCACCAUCAUCACCACACACCAUUCAUCCGCCAUGUUGACGGUCCUUAAUGCUCACAUUUAACCAUCAACUAAUCAUGGAAAAGGGUCCAAAUGCAACCAACACCCAGACUUAGGGUUUUAUCUGACAGAAUUCCACGAGUUUUGGUGUUUGUCUAUUUCUGCAGGGGGUUAUCAGGAAAUACGGAAGAAAGGCCCACACGUCGGGUUUACAUAGAGAUAUUAACGUGUCGUGCAAUUUUCUAUCAUCUAGAAGACACCAGAAGCCACGGGAAGGAAGCAGAGGCCGAGAGGGCUCAGGGACAGGGCGCCCGACCAAGUCCUGAGGGCGCCCGCCCUGGAGUUCUGCCCAAUCACGUCCAAACUCGAGGAUCGUGCUCCACCGACCUAAGGGAUCAAGGAUAACCAUUCAAUCAAUGUCGGUUUGAUCCAACGGCCCAUAUUCACUUAAAGGGACUAUAAAACCAGACCCCUUGGCCCCUGGAGAUCAUACCUCUUCUACAGAAUCAAAGCUAGGGUUUCAAUUCUUCAUCCAAGUAGAGAGGAUCCCUCUAGUUCUUCUAGUUCUACCUCUAGUUCAUCUAGAUCUAGUUCUAGUUCAUCUAGUUCUAGUUCUAGUUCCUCUAAUUCUAGUUCUAGUUAGUUCUAGUUGUAAUCUAGAAAAUAGGGAGAGAGAAGAGGAAAGCGGAGGAGGAGCCGGAUCUGUCGCAUCUUCCUCAACAUUGUACCUUUGCAGCAACUGGUUCGUUCUUCAUCGUUCUCUAGGUUUUUCAAUUCAUAAUUCCUGAGUUCUUCAAUUACUUUUAUUUACGUUCAAGUUAUUUAUUGGAUUCCCGCUUGCAUCAAGUGCUCUAGUCUUUAUAACGCUAGAGUAGUAAUUAAUAGAUUAGACGUGGUGUUUAGUCUUGUAAUUACCUAGAAUUGCACCCAAUCCUACGGAUUGUGGUGGUAGCCUUUGGGUAGUGACAGCCCUAACGGUCGACGUAUUCCACCUCGUUCGGAUCAGUGUUUCUAGGACCGUAGUCAGACCUUCCUAGCCCCCUUCUCAUCUCUUUCUAUGGUUAGUGCUCUAAUGUCCCGAUAUAGAUUAUCUUGAAGUAAUUCUUGAUUCUUAGAUCAACUAGAGAACUCUCAGGAAACUUCCUCUCUUCCCACCAAAAAUAAUUAUAUAGUUAUCUUUGGGCGAUCUUGGAUCUUAAUUAGUACACUCAUGUUCUCUGUGGAAAAUCGAUACUCUGGAAUACUCUUGGGGGAAAGCUACAUCGGUAUCCGUGCGCUUGCGGAUUUUUCUGUUUGCGUUCAAAAUACCCAACAAGCUUUCUGGCGCCGUUGCCGGGGAACGGUAGCUGUGCUAGUUUCAAACCAAGUUGUCCGUGUGUCCUUUUUCUUUUCUUUUUUACCACAAUCACCUUAUCAUUUUUACCAUACCACAUGGAUUUCACUGUAAGCAUUAAUGAGCAUGGAAUUUAUUUCAUAGCCACUUCAUUUACUCCAUGCUCAUAUGCAACAUCUUCCCAAUCCAUUGGUUUUUCCAACAUCACCACAUUCGAGAUCUCCAACCCCCUCAUCCUUUCUAUUUAUAAAAACUUUAAAAGGGCGGUUGUCGAUGCAUAUGUCUAUAUUAAAUAUUGCAGAUCUCGUUGAGUUGAUCUUGAUAUAGGUCAGCGAUGGAGGGGAAACCACUUCACCGACAUAAAUUGAUGGUUUCCCAAGGACAAGCUUAGUGUCCUAAAAUAAGCACUGAUCAGAUAAUAACAUGAGCUUUUAAUUAUUUGCAGCAUUACCUUGUGUAUUGAGCAUAUAAGGAUAAUUGUAAGAAAAUUCCUUCGGGUAUUCUUGUCACUAACCUUUCCAGGAUUGGAGCAAGAAGAUCGGAUGAAUGACAAGCACAAAGUAUGUCCAACCAAUCAUCAUGCAACAUUAAACUAAAUUCAUCCAAUCUUGAAUUUUGGGGGAGUACUUCGCAUAAAAACAUCCUUUGCCAUGUUGCUAUGUUGGUUGUCCCUACCUUUGAGACAUGCUCAAUUUGUUAAAUACUAAUCACACUACUUCAUCUCCACUUGAGUAGAUCUCUAUAAAUGCUCUCAUACCACCUUUAUUUACUUUAGUAUAUGUCUAGGUUUGGAGUAGUUUCAUUUAUCUCUUAAUUAAGCAUGGUGCUUAGUUUAGGGCUGAUGAUCUUACUUCCAUGGGAGUUUAAAUUAAGCAAGAUGCUUAGGUUAAAAUGCCCUCCUAAAUCAAAUUAGACAUGGUGUCUAGGUUGAUUUUUGAACCGAUAGUAUGCUAUAGUAGAUAUGGGAUAUUUUGUUGCACUAACCCAUGCAGGAAACCUUUCAAUAUCGACCUGGGAAGUCCUGAGACAAACUCACAUUGGAGGCAAAGAGAGAGACACAUGAAGGUUAACAAUUUACACAAGGAAAGCAGAGCUCACAAUUGAUGAUCUAGGGAGGGUGCUACAAACACGAUGCACAACCGCUAAGAAAGGAAAGCUUCCAUAAGAUGAUACUAUACCAUCACUCUUCAAGUAAGGUAACAUCUUAAGGUAUUUGACUAUCACUUUUUAUAAGCUUCUCCUUGGAUCUGGUGUUCACAUGAAUAAAAGAGACAAACAUGUAUGAUUUACAACUCUAGGUUAACCAACCCAAUCAAUUCAACAUGUUUAGUCCUUCCACCGUUGUGAUCUCACACUCCUAAUCAUAUGAGCUAAAAUGUUGCACACUCAAUCUUUGGAAGAUAUUUAAAGAACACAUAAAUAUAGAUAGAUUAUCUUUCCAUUAGGUUGAGCGAUCUGAUCUGACAAAAUAUUUUAAAUGUUACACUCAUGAUCUUAUUAUCCAUCAACUUUGUCUUGCUCACUAUGCUUAAGGAUAGAGAAGAAUAAAUUCACUUUUGGUUCUGUUGGUGUUUUCCACCAACAGGGCCCAUGCACUUGAUCUCUGCCUUGUCUCUAUGAGCAGGUACAUUUCGAGCAAAAUAUGAAGGACUUUUACAACUCCCAGACUCCACCAAGUGAAGAACCUAGAUCUAGGAGCACAAACACACUGGAGAUACUAGACACUCAGGCAAUCACUGCCCUGAGAUGCUUGAGGACGUAACUACUGGAGUAACCCCAUAGUGGAAGUAAUUACUGACCUUCUGCCGGUCAAGAGAGACAAUCCAGGACGCCCCGUCAUCCCGAUCUCCAUCGGCAUGGUGGACUUCCUAGGAGCACUCUGCGACUUUGGCUCCAGCGUCAACAUUAUACCCAGGGGAGGCCAUUUCUGAACACCUCGGGAGGUGUCAUCUACACUAGUGCUGUCAAGAUCAGUGUCUACAUCCAGGGAAAGAAGGAGACGUUUUCCUUCAAGAACAAGACUACACAAAUCUUAGAGGAAUCCUGACAUGAACCAAGGAAAGGACCAAUAGGAGGAACAGGAACAAGCAAAUGUGGACCAAGUUAGCUAAGAUAGUCACUGCAGUUUAAGGAGGUCAAGAUCGUCGAUUUAAGUCACCGUUCCUGACUAAAAAGGACAACCCAGUUCCAGAUGGCAGAUCAGACAUUCCAAAAGAUUGAAGGUUAUUGACAUGGGAGAAGACGAGUACGAUUCACCCAUCAUCCUUGCGAGACCGUUCCUCAGCACCGUUAUAGCAAUCAUCUACAUUCCAACCGGAGAAGUCCACAUGCACUUCCCCUCUGAGAAGGUACGCCGCUAUUUUACUGACCCUAACUAUAUAGUUGAAGACUCUAAGCAGGUCAGGACAAGAAGGAGACGACGCAACCGCAACCAGAGAAGGCAAAAUCAUCAAGGAUGGAUGGGCAGACUACGAAGGAGAAGUAGUGAGGUCUGAAGACAUACAGCUUGAACAGAACUGUCCUGAGGAGACCGUAGCACCGAGUCAGGUGUGGAAAAAGAAGAUAGUUAUACAUGAAGAGCAGGCGCCGCCGGAACCACCGACUACGCCAUCCAGCGAAUCCCAGGACGAAUGAGAAAACGGAGAGUCCCGUUCGGAGGACGUAAAAACACCGAACGCCUUGCCAAGAGGUAAACUUGGUAGUUAUCUUUUUCCUUUCAAUUAUUUUAAAAUAGUUUUCUUAGUUAAUCAGGUUCAUAUCAUCUCGAAAACAAAAUAAAAAUGUUAAAAAUAGUAAGCUCCAUGUGAGUAUGCUCAUGGCAUAAAACCCAUAAGUACAUUCACUGUGGUGGCAUAAAAAUGAAUAAAUAUAUUCUUGUCCUAUAAAAAUGAAAAUAUAAAAAUAAAUUUAUGAUCCUACCAAAGAGAGUAAUAUUUAUUGAGGAGGCUCAACAUGAUAAAGGCUAGAUAUUUAUGCUAACACUUAACUAGUUCCACAAAGCUUUGUUGUCUAUUUGAGCUCCACAGAAUUCAAGGAUCAAAGAAGACUAGCAGACGAAGGACAUCCUAAUCACUGUCAGGGUGCUGCUGACAUUCAAAUACACCUCCGCCACCUGCUAGCUACAUCAGAAAAAAUUACAUCAAAAUCCAGCUUGGGGGAGAGCACCCCCAUUUAUCCAGCUAAGUGUUCUACUCAUGUUUAUACUUUACUCAAAUAAUAAAAAGAUGCAUAAUCAUAAAAACCCAAAUAAAAAUUUUGUGCUUAUAUAUAUAUCUUUGCUUAGUUUGCUAAAUAAAUAAAUAAAUAAAAUUUGCUAUGAACCCUCAUGAUAAGCUCUCACAUGGAAAUGAUGAAUAGUUGCUCUGCCAUGACUAGUUCUCAAAAUUGAAAUCUCUCUCAAGUUUAGGCAUGACGGUUAUCAAUUAAGAUUUGCUCUAAAACUGAAUUUGUGGGGAGAGUACUUGAUCUAAAGUCUAUGUCGUUAACGGAUAUGAUAUGGGAAGGUUGAGCUGUUGCUUAUCUGUUCCUAGAGAUGCUAGAAUUCUGGAGAAUUUUAUCUUUGAAAAUCUUUAAAAUGUUGCAUGAUGAGUUCCUGUAUGAUGAGAGUUUAAAUUCCUACCACAGCUAUAUAUACAUGCUUGCUAGACUAUGAGCCACACAUUUACUUUUUACUACUUAUGAGCAUUGAGUGUGGUCAAGCUAUGUAGACCCUUAGGAGCUUGUCAUGCGGUUAAAUCAAGAUUCACUUGCACGUUCACUCAUACAAGCUACUUCUACUUCGGAAGUACGCAUCCACAUAUAUCCAUCCAUUUCCAUCUCCAGAACCACCCAAAAAUAUUCUACUCCUAAUCCGGGAGAGAAUAGCCAAAAAUAUUUCUUUUUUUCCCCUAUGAAAUAAAUGCUCAAGUUAUCUUGUUACUACCACUUGCUAUAUUAUUUCAGGAGAUGAGUGCUCUAAAAAAAGAUUGAAAAAAAAGAGAAAAAUACGAGGAAAUAAAAAGGGGCAAGUGCCCGGAACCUCGAAGAAAAGAAAAAGUGUCCGACAGUAGAAUUAGGGGUACAAGAUACCCACCUGAGAGGAAAGAAAAAAAAAAUAUAGAGCAUCUCAUUCUCCUCAAAAAGUUUCAAUAGAGCAAGAAAGGUAUGUAUCCCCUCAAAAGAGCACAAGUAGAAUUAGACUUUCACCAUUGUUAUCACCAUCAUUACCAUGCACCAUUCAUUCGCCACACAUGCACAUCUUGAUUUGACUUAUUGACUUGUUCUUCUGGAUCCAUGGUUUGACUAUGCAAUAAAUGUCUUGUAAGUAUGUAUUAGCUGUCUCCCACCUAUGAGCUCCAGAUAUCAAAAGCCUUAUUAGAGUAGGGUAAGAGAGAAGGCAAUGCCACUAUGCCUUAUACCAAAAAUACCACAUACUUUGAGAGAAGGCAUACACCUUUACUGCCUUGGUAAGGAUCCAGAAAUACCACAAAAGAGAGACUAGAGAGAGUCAUACAAGGAAUCUCUGACUUUUAUUUGAAAAUCUGCAAAAACUCUAGAGCUAUAGUUAAUCGAAGAACAAGAGACAUAGCGCUUGAUUAGACCAUUCUAUCUUUUAACUACUCAAGACAUAAGUGACGGUUACAAACCCCAUGGUGAAAGGUAAUAUGAGUAAGUUUUAAGUCUUAACAGUUUACUCUAAUCCAGAGAUGAUAUCUUGUUUGAACGCAUUUGUAUCUUUAAGGCAUGAAACCACUGCAGAAACUCUUGAGUUCAUCUUUGCUCAGGGACGAGCAAAGGUUAAGCUUGGGGGAGCUUGUUGACGGUCCUUAAUGCUCACAUUUAACCAUCAACUAUCAUGGAAAAGGAUCCAAAUGCAACCAACACCCAGACUUAGGGUUUUAUCUAACAGAAUUCCACGAGUUUUAGUGUUUGUCUAUUUCUGCAGGGGGUUAUCAGGAAAUACGGAAGAAAGACCCACAUGUCAGGUUUACAUAGAGAUAUUAACGUGCCGUGCAAUUUUCUAUCAUCUAGAAGACUCCAGAAGCCACGAGAAGGAACGGGAGGCCGAGCGGGCUCGGGGGCAGGGCGCCCGCCCUCCCCCCUUGGGCGCCCGCCCUGCUACAGUGGCCAAUCACGCUCAACCUCGCGGAUUAUGCUCCACCGACCUAAAGGAUCAAGAAUAACCGUUCAAUCAAUGUCGGUUUGAUCCGACGGCCCAGGUUCACUUGAGGGGACUAUAUAAGCAGACCCCCUGGCCCCUGGAGGAGGCACCCCCUUGAUCAUUAUUCAUUAUUCAUAGACAGAGCAAAAGCUAGGGUUUAGAGAUGAGAGCUCUCCUCUCUUCUUUAAACUAGGAUCUAGAUAGUAGCGAGAUGGAGAGCGAAGGAGGAUUAGAGGAGAGGUCGGCCUGUCGGUUCUUCCUCCGGUUGUACUUUGUCAUGAUCAAGCUCUAAUCAAGCUUGCUCAUGGGAUGACUCUGGUAAUCUACUUCUAAUUUAUUAUGCAAUUACUAAUCAUGUAUGUUCUGGUUCACAACUCUUUUGAGUACUUCUAAUCUAUAGGACCCUAUAGGUUAGAGUUGUAGUAUAGGUGUGAGCGUGGUGCUUAGACCUAGAUUACUUGUGGAUAUCCCCUGUCUAGCUGGAUCGUGUGGUAGGCCGCGUACGUGACAGUUACGUUGGUCCUCUGUAGUCCACCUCUCAUUAGCUCGACGGGUAGGGUUUAUCGGCCUAAGCAUAAGCAUCCUUUGUGGUACUCUUAUCACGUGGUUCGUCCCAGACAUAGACAUACCCCUUUGAUGUAGAGAAACCAUAGUUAUCCUCUCUAUUCUGCUACCAUCGCCCAUAUACCAGAAUUGCUCUACUCUCUAUUCCCAUAUUAUCACUCACUGUUAUCUUACCAUUAAUAUUGUUCUUAUUCAAUUCUACCAUCUUUCCUAUUUACACCUAUUUACUUAUCUUGGUUAAGUUAGAGCAUAGAUCAGUUCUCCCGUUUCCCUGUGGAUACGAUAAAACCUUUAACCGGGUAAAAGCUAUAACGGUAUCCGUGCGCUUGCGGAUUUAUCUGUGUGCGUAUAAAUACCAUAGUACACUCUAGUGCCAUGCUAGGGAUGACAACCUAGUAUUCAAGUGGUGUUAGCAAGUGUCAAUAGACGUAGCUCACAAUAGAUGAUCCAUGGAGGGUGCCACAAAUACGAUGCACAACCGCUAAGAAAGAAAAGCUUCCACAAGGUGAUACUAUACCAUCACUCUUCAAGUAAGGUAACAUCUUAAGGUACUUGACUAUCACUUUUAUAAGCUUCUCCUUGGUUCUAGUGUUCACAUGAAUAAAAGAGACAAACAUGUAUGAUUUACAACUUUAGGUUAACCAACCCAACUGAUUCAGCAUGUUCAGUCCUUUAAUCUUUGUUCCUAGUACUACCUCCAUGAUCCCACACUCCUAAUCAUAUGAGCUAAAAUGUUGCACACUCAAUCUUUGGAAGAUAUAUAAGAAAAAGACAUAUACAUAGAUAGAUUAUCUUUCUAUAAGGUUGAGCGAUCUGAUCUGACAAAUGUUUUAAAUGCUACACUCAUGACCUUAUUAUCCAUCAACUUUGUCUUGCUCACUAUGCUUAGGGUUAGAGAAGAAAAAAUACACUUUUGGUUCUGUUGGUGUUUUCCACCAAUAGGGCCCAUGCACUUGAUCUCUUCCUUGUCUCUAUGAGCACGUACACUUCGAGCAAAACAUGGAGGAGUUUUACAACUCCCAGACAUCACCAAGUGAAGGAUCUGGAUCUACGAGCGCAAACACACUGAGCAAGAUACUGCCAACGCUGCACUUCGAACUGUUGGGCAAAUGAAGAACAUGGGUGACACCGUAUCAAGAGGUGCAGACGUCAAGGUCCACAUCUGAAUCGAAUGACGCACCUAAAGAAUGAACACGGUGAGAAGUCUUGUCCAGAAGACUUAAAACAUUGAACCCUCGCCGAAAGGUAAAAUCGGUAGUUAUCCAUAUUUAUCCUUUCUGCAUUCCCUUUUCCCUUAAAUUAUUUACUUUCCUUAAAUGGCUUGUUAGUUAAUCAUGCUAUCUUGAAAAGAAAAAAAUGUUAAAAAUACUAAGCCCCAUGUGAGUAUGCUCGUGGCAUAAAACACAUAAGUACAUUCACUAUGGUGGCGUAGAAAUAAAAUAAAUAUAUUCCUAUCCUAUAAAAAUGAAAAUAUAAAAAUAAAUUUAUGAUCCUACCAAAGAGAGUAAUAUCUAUUAGAGGAAGCUCAACAUGAUAACGGCUAAGAGAUUUUAUGCUAACACUUAACCAGUUCCACAAAGCUUUGUUGUCUAUUUAAGCUCCGCAGAAUCCAAGGAUCAAAGAAGACUAGCAGACGGAGGACAUCCUAAUCGUUGUCAGGGUGCUACCGACAUUCAAGUACACCUCCACCACCGGUUAGCUACAUCAGAAGAAAUUACGUCAAAAUCCAGCUUGGGGGAAAGCACCCCCAUUUAUCCAGCUAAGUGUUUCUACUCCCGUUUAUACUUUACUCAAAUAAUAAAAAAAUGCAUAAUCAUAAAAACCCAAAUAAAGAUUUUAUGCUUAUAUAUAUCUAUGUUUAGUUUGCUAAAUAAAUAAAUAAAUAAAUAAAGUUUGCUAUGAACCCUCAUGAUAAGCUCUCAUAUGGAAAUGAUGAAUAGUUGCUCUGCCAUGACUAGUUCUCAAAAUUGAAUUCUCUCUCAAGUUUAGGCAUGACUGUUAUGAAUUAAGAUUUGCUCUAAACCUGAACUUGUGGGAAGAGUACUUGAUCUGAAGUCUAAGUCGUUAACGGAUACGAUAUGGGAAGGUUGAGCUGCUAUUUAUCUAUUCCUAGAGAUGCUAGAAUUCUAGAGAAUUUUAUCGUUGAAAAUCUUUCAAAUGUUGCAUGAUGAGUUCCUGUAUGAUGAGAGUUUAAAAUCCCACCACAGCCAUAUAUACAUGCUUAUUAGACUAUGAACCAUACAUUUACUUUUUACUGCUUAUGAGCAUUGAGUGUGGUCAAGCUGUGUAGACCCUUAGGAGCUUGUCAUGCAGUUAAAAUCAAGAUUCACUUGCACGUUCACUCAUACAUGCUUCUUCUACUCCGGAAGUACGCAUCCACAUACUUCCACUCAUUUCCAUCUCCAGAUUUACCCAAAAUUAUUCUACUCCUAUCUAGGAGAGAAUAGCCAAAAAUAUUAUCCCAUCCCUGUUAUUCCCCGUGAAAUAAAUGCUCGAGAUAUUUUGGUUACUACCACUUGCUACAUUAUUCCAGGAGGGUGAGUGCUCUGAAAAAAAGUGAAUACGAGGAAAUAAAAAGAGGCAAGUGCCCGAAACCUCGAAAGAAAAGAAAAAGUGAGACGAGAGGUAAAAAUGGACAAGUGUCCGACAGUAGAAUUAGGGGUACAGGAUACCCACCUGAGAGAAAAAAAAAAGAAAAUAUAGAGCAUCUAAUUCCCCUCAAAAAGCUUCAAAGUGCAAGAAAGGUAUGAAUCCCCUCAAAAGAGCAAGCAUAGAAUUAGACUUUCACCAUUGUUUUCACCAUUAUCACCAUCAUCACCAUACACCAUUCAUUCGCCACACAUGCACAUCUUGAUUUGACUUAUUGACUUGUUUCUCUGGAUCCAUGAUUUGACUAUGCAAUAAAUGUCUUGUAAGUAUGUAUUAGCUGUCUCCCACCUAUGAGCUCCACAUAUCAAAACCUUGUUAAAGUAGGGUGAGAGAGAAGGCAAUAUAAUUAUGCCUCAUAGAACAAAUAUCACAUACUUUGAGAGAAGGCAUAUAUCAUCACUGCCUUGGUAAGGAUCCAGAAAUACCACAAAAGAGAGACUAGAGAGAGUCAUACAAGGAAUCUCUGAGUUUUAUUUAAAAAUCUGCAAAAACUCCAGAGCUAUAGUUGAUCAAAGAACAAGAGACAUGGUGCUUGACUUGACCGUUCUAUCUUUUAACUGCUCAAGACACAACUGACGGUUGCAAGCCCCAUGGUUGAAGGUAAUAUGAGUAAGUUUAAAUCUUAAUAGUUUACCUUAACCAAGAGAUGAGAUCUUGUUUGAACGCAUGAGUACCUUUAAGGCAUAAAACCAUUGCAA